rnacentral:rRNA from 1 species
GCCAUGCCGCGUGCAGGAUGACGGUUCUAUGAAUUGUAAACUGCUUUUGUACGGGAAUAACGGUCUCUACGUGUAGGGAUGUGCAUGUACCGUACGAAUAAGGAUCGGCUAACUCCGUGCCAGCAGCCGCGGUAAUACGGAGGAUUCGAGCGUUAUCCGGAUUUAUUGGGUUUAAAGGGUGCGUAGGCGGUUCGGUAAGUUAGAGGUGAAAGGUCAGGGCUUAACCCUGGGACUGCCUCUGAUACUGUCGGACUGGAGAGCAGAUGCAGCAGGCGGAAUGAGUAGUGUAGCGGUGAAAUGCUUAGAUAUUACUCAGAACACCGAUUGCGAAGGCAGCUUGCUAAUCUGUAUCUGACGCUGAUGCACGAAAGCGUGGGGAGCGAACAGGAUUAGAUACCCUGGUAGUCCACGCAGUAAACGAUGAUAACUCGUUGUCGGCGAUAGACAGUCGGUGACCAAGCGAAAGCGAUAAGUUAUCCACCUGGGGAGUACGACCGCAAGGUUGAAACUCAAAGGAAUUGACGGGGGCCCGCACAAGCGGAGGAACAUGUGGUUUAAUUCGAUGAUACGCGAGGAACCUUACCCGGGCUUGAAAGUUAGUGACCGACCCUGAAAGGGGUCUU